AUGCAUCGAGCUCUUUUUGUUCCACGGAGGUCAUUCAUUUUCAAUGGAGAAGUCCGCAACGCUACUUUGGCGGUGCCGUACUAACUAGGUUGUGGUGCAUUCAAUAUUUCUUAUCCUGCAUUGCUUUACCUUGCGGUGGUACAAACAGAAGUACACACAGACUCCAACUAACUAUCUUUUAGCAAGUUGAAAGCAAAGCAAGUGCCUCAAGUACAGAAAAUGGGGACUAGACACAGCGAAACAUCUGCAUCAGAUGGACAUUGUGCAUAAAGGUCCAAUGCGGACGUUUUUAUCUCAAUAUCAAAUAAUUGCUUAUGUGUAACAAAUUAAUUAAAUGAUUAAAAUAGUCAAAUGAACAAAAACAGCUUCUUAGCUAAAUGUAAUUUCUCAAGCAAUAAUUUUGCUAGGACUGUCUGGGAGUGGUCUGAGAGAGGGGCCUAAUUGGAGGAGCCUAAUGAUAGGGAUUUGUAACCUAAAAACUAGUUGUUAUUGGCAGAGAAGAGGGCAAACAAUCUUUUCAAACAUCUCUUUGACUAAAAGUGCAUUUUCAUAAUUUCCCAGUGUUAUUUCAACGUCAUAGUCGGGAUAUAUAUAAAGCACAGUAAUAUCACGUGUUUGACUGCACUGGGUCUUUAAGGUAUCUCAUAGGACCCAAUUUACGGCAAUUGGCAGAAUCCUUCCGGACGUAGUUUGUGAUGCACCAAAAUAGCAGCUGUCCAUUUUCGUGCUGAAUGUUUUUUUUAAGAACUUGCGAAGUGUGUGUUUAAACUUAGCUAGUAAAUAUAAUCGAAUACAUUUUAGGAGUAAGAACUUGAGUUGACGACGGUGUCGUUUUCAGUAUGUUUGCGAAGUCCAACACAGUGAUUAAACGCUCCGAUAGGCAAGGAGUCACUCGUUCCACAUUAAACUCAACGAUUUACAAUGGAGUUGAGCGACGACGAGGUGUGUUGUGUGCGGCCGACUGGAGCUCCGACGUUUUAAUGAAAAAAAAACCCGACACAUUUCAGCACCCAAAGAAUAGGCAACAAUUACACACGAUAUUUUCUAUUCGCCGCUCAACUCAACAGGCAUCCAGCCUCUGGUAGCUAGAAAGGAGGAAGCUGAAAGCUGACAUAUCCACAGCCUUUCCCUCUCUGUCUGUGGAGGAACUGUCUGAGUUGGUCCCAAACAAAGAGGAGCUGAAUGUACUGAAGAUCUAUGCCCACAAGGGAGAUGCAGUCACCCUCUACGUGCUUCAUAAGAACCCAGUGUUCUUUGAGCUGGAGAAACGUGUCUAUCUCACAGGUAGGGUUAAAGUCAACAUGUCUAUCCCACAGGUAGGGUUACAGUCAACAUGUCUAUCCCACAGGAAGGGUUACAGUCAACAUGUCUAUCCCGCAGGAAGGGUUAAAGUCAACAUGUCUAUCCCACAGGAAGGGUUCAAGUCAAUAUGUCUAUUCCACAGGAAGGGUUACAGUCAAUAUGUCUAUCCCACAGGAAGGGUUAAAGGAAGGGUUACAGUCAACAUGUCUAUCCCACAGUAAGGGUUACAGUCAACAUGUCUAUCCCACAGGAAGGGUUACAGUCAACAUGUCUAUGUUCUGUUAUAAUCUCCACCCGGCACAGCCAGAAGAGGACGGGCCACCCCACAUAUGCUCUCUCUAAUUCUCUCUUUCUUUCUCUCUCUCGGAGGACCUGAGCUCUAGGACCGUGCCCCAGGACUAUCUGACAUGAUGACUCCUUGCUGUCCCCGGUCCACCUGACUGCUGCUGCUCCAGUUUCAACUGUUCUGCCUUGUUAUUAUUCAACCAUGCUGGUCAUUUAUGAACAUUUGAACAUCUUGGCCAUGUUCUGUUAUAAUCUCCAGCCGGCACAGCCAGAAGAGGACUGGCCACCCCACAUAGCCUGGUUCCUCUAGAUUUCUUCCUAGGUUUUGGCCUUUCUAGGGAGUUUUUCCUAGCCACCGUGCUUCUACACCUUCAUUGCUUGCUGUUUGGGGUUUUAGGCUGGGUUUCUGUACAGCACUUUGAGAUAUCAGCUGAUGUACGAAGGGCUAUAUAAAUACAUUUGAUUUGAUUUGAUUCAUCCCACAGGAAGGGUUAAAGCCAACAUGUCUAUCCCACAGGAAGGGUUAAAGUCAACAUGUCUAUCCCACAGGAAGGGUUAAAGUCAACAUGUCUAUCCCACAGGAAGGGUUACAGUCAACAUGUCUAUCCCACAGGAAGGGUUACAGUCAACAUGUCUAUCCCACAGGAAGGGUUACAGUCAACAUGUCUAUCCCACAGGAAGGGUUACAGUCAACAUGUCUAUCCCACAGGAAGGGUUACAGUCAACAUGUCUAUCCCACAGGAAGGGUUACAGUCAACAUGUCUAUCCCACAGGAAGGGUUACAGUCAACAUGUCUAUCCCACAGGAAGGGUUACAGUCAACAUGUCUAUCCCACAGGAAGGGUUAAAGUCAACAUGUCUAUCCCACAGGAAGGGUUACAGUCAACAUGUCUAUCCCACAGGAAGGGUUACAGUCAACAUGUCUAUCCCACAGGAAGGGUUAAAGUCAACAUGUCUAUCCCACAGGAAGGGUUACAGUCAACAUGUCUAUCCCACAGGAAGGGUUAAAGUCAACAUGUCUAUCCCACAGGAAGGGUUACAGUCAACAUGUCUAUCCCACAGGAAGGGUUACAGUCAACAUGUCUAUCCCACAGGAAGGGUUAAAGCCAACAUGUCUAUCCCACAGGAAGGGUUAAAGUCAACAUGUAUAUCCCACAGGAAGGGUUAAAGUCAACAUGUCUAUCCCACAGGAAGGGUUAAAGUCAACAUGUCUAUCCCACAGGAAGGGUUAAAGUCAACAUGUCUAUCCCACAGGAAGGGUUACAGUCAACAUGUCUAUCCCACAGGAAGGGUUACAGUCAACAUGUCUAUCCCACAGGAAGGGUUAAAGUCAACAUGUCUAUCCCACAGGAAGGGUUACAGUCAACAUGUCUAUCCCACAGGAAGGGUUACAGUCAACAUGUCUAUCCCACAGGAAGGGUUACAGUCAACAUGUCUAUCCCACAGGAAGGGUUACAGUCAACAUGUCUAUCCCACAGGAAGGGUUACAGUCAACAUGUCUAUCCCACAGGAAGGGUUAAAGUCAACAUGUCUAUCCCACAGGAAGGGUUACAGUCAACAUGUCUAUCCCACAGUAAGGGUUACAGUCAACAUGUCUAUCCCACAGGAAGGGUUACAGUCAACAUGUCUAUCCCACAGUGUUGGACUAGUAACCGGAAGGUUGCAAGUUCAAACCCCCGAGCUGACAAGGUACAAAUCUGUCAUUCUGCCCCUGAACAGGCAGUUAACCCACUGUUCCUAGGCCGUCAUUGAAAAUAAGAAUUUGUUCUUAACUGACUUGCCUAGUUAAAUAAAGGUUAAAUAAAUAAAAAAAUUAAAAAGGGUUGCAGUCCAAAUGUCUCAAGUGGCAGAGAUGCACUGACCAUACAACUCAGGAAAAAAAUAGAACUCUUGACUACGGUGGUGCUGAUAAAGAUAGCACCUCUACAGACGGUAUCUAACUGCACAUUUGCAUUCUCUCAAGAUGCUGAAAUAAAUAAAUAAUAUUUCUCCACUCUUUUUCCCCAAGUCAAAAUGUAGCCGACAUUUGAAGGAGUUAAUAUUAAGGCUAUGUGAGAGGUUAUAGACAUACAGUCAGUGUCCAGAUUUCAGUUUUCAUUUAACCCAUCUGAACAGUAGGCUACAGUUCCCUUGACAGACCAUGGCCUAUUAAGUCCCCCUCUUGUGACUGUCGAUUUGUAGGCUAUAUCGCCUCACAAUCAUCACAAUCAUCCUCUUUUACCACUUCACCAAAUAUUACUUUUUUGGCCCUCCCUUCUCUUUAUUUUCAACUCCCCAAUUCACGGCGCUUCUCUUAUUGAAUUAAACUCAGACAUUGUCCUUUUUGUUUCCGUGGAUUGACGUUUACUUUUUUCUGCCCGUUCCCAAAAGCAUUUGGCAUGUAAGCUAUUUGCCACGUGUGCAGUUAAUCCCUAAAAGUUUAGGCUAAUGCACUACUACCAUAUAGCCUAAAAUAAUAAAAUAAAAACCUCAAUGUAGCCUAUGUAUAUAUAUAUACUUCUUUUCCACCAUAAUUAGCAAAUAAAUUCAUUAAAAAUCCUACAAUGUGAUUUUCUGGAUUUUUUUUCUAAUUUUGUCUGUCAUACUUGAAGUGUACCUAUGAUGAAAAUUACAGGCCUCUCUCAUCUUUUUAAGUGGGUGAACUUGCACAAUUGGUGGCAGACUAAAUACUUUUUUGCCCCACUAUAUACAGUGCCUUGCGAAAGUAUUCGGCCCCCUCGAACUUUGCGACCUUUUGCCACAUUUCAGGCUUCAAACAUAAAGAUAUAAAACUGUAUUUUUUUGUGAAGAAUCACCAACAAGUGGGACACAAUCAUGAAGUGGAACGACAUUUAUUGGAUAUUUCAAACUUUUUUAACAAAUCAAAAACUGAAAAAUUGGGCGUGCAAAAUUAUUCAGCCCCUUUACUUUCAGUGCAGCAAACUCUCUCCAGAAGUUCAGUGGGGAUCUCUGAAUGAUCCAAUGUUGACCUAAAUGACUAAUGAUGAUAAAUACAAUCCACCUGUGUGUAAUCAAGUCUCCGUAUAAAUGCACCUGCACUGUGAUAGUCUCAGAGGUCUGUUAAAAGCGCAGAGAGCAUCAUGAAGAACAAGGAACACACCAGGCAGGUCCGAGAUACUGUUGUGAAGAAGUUUAAAGCCGGAUUUGGAUACAAAAAUAUUUCCCAAGCUUUAAACAUCCCAAGGAGCACUGUGCAAGCGAUAAUAUUGAAAUGGAAGGAGUAUCAGACCACUGCAAAUCUACCAAGACCUGGCCGUCCCUCUAAACUUUCAGCUCAUACAAGGAGAAGACUGAUCAGAGAUGCAGCCAAGAGGCCCAUGAUCACUCUGGAUGAACUGCAGAGAUCUACAGCUGAGGUGGGAGACUCUGUCCAUAGGACAACAAUCAGUCGUAUAUUGCACAAAUCUGGCCUUUAUGGAAGAGUGGCAAGAAGAAAGCCAUUUCUUAAAGAUAUCCAUAAAAAGUGUUGUUUAAAGUUUGCCACAAGCCACCUGGGAGACACACCAAACAUGUGGAAGAAGGUGCUCUGGUCAGAUGAAACCAAAAUUUAACUUUUUGGUAACAAUGCAAAACGUUAUGUUUGGCGUAAAAGCAACACAGCUCAUCACCCUGAACACACCAUCCCCACUGUCAAACAUGGUGGUGGCAGCAUCAUGGUUUGGGCCUGCUUUUCUUCAUCAGGGACAGGGAAGAUGGUUAAAAUUGAUGGGAAGAUGAUUGGAGCCAAAUACAGGACCAUUCUGGAAGAAAACCUGAUGGAGUCUGCAAAAGACCUGAGACUAGGACGGAGAUUUGUCUUCCAACAAGACAAUGAUCCAAAACAUAAAGCAAAAUCUACAAUGGAAUGGUUCAAAAAUAAACAUAUCCAGGUGUUAGAAUGGCCAAGUCAAAGUCCAGACCUGAAUCCAAUCGAGAAUCUAUGGAAAGAACUGAAAACUGCUGUUCACAAAUGUUCUCCAUCCAACCUCACUGAGCUCGAGCUGUUUUGCAAGGAGGAAUGGGAAAAAAAUUCAGUCUCUCGAUGUGCAAAACUGAUAGAGACAUACCCCAAGCGACUUACAGCUGUAAUCGCAGCAAAAGGUGGCGCUACAAAGUAUUAACUUAAGGGGGCUGAAUAAUUUUGCAUGCCCAAUUUUUCAGUUUUUGAUUGGUUAAAAAAGUCUGAAAUAUCCAAUAAAUGUCGUUCCACUUCAUGAUUGUGUCCCACUUGUUGUUGAUUCUUCACAAAAAAAUACAGUUUUAUAUCUUUAUGUUUGAAGCCUGAAAUGUGGCAAAACGUUGCAAAGUUCAAGUGGGCCGAAUACUUUCGCAAGGCACUGUAUAUAUAUAUAUAUAUAUAUAUAUACUGCACAAUAAGUAUACAUGUAUGGAUUUUUUUAUAUAUUGUUUGCUCUUUAUUCAACCUGGCUGCCACCCGCCCUACACCCACAAAAUAUUUAAUGACCUUGAGGAUAUAACCAUGGGGACUGCAGGUUAUGAGUCAACCUGCGCAUCACUACCACAAGGUAACUAUUAUGGCUCAAAUGGAGAACAAGUGAGAGGAGAGAUUGGCAGUUAUUAUGAUACUGGUACAGUGCAUUAGGAAAGUAUUCAGACCCCUUGACUUUUUCCACAUGUUACGUUACAGCCUUAUUUUAAAAUUGAUUGAAUAAAAAAUAGUACUCAUCAAUCUACACGCAAAACCCCGUAAUGACAAAGCAAAAACAGGUUUUUCUAAAUUUUUCAAAUAUAUAAAAACAUAUUUACAUAAGUAUUCAAACCCUUUGCUAUGAGAUUCGAAAUUGAGCUCAGGUGCAUCCUGGUUCCUCUGAUCAUCCGUGAUGUUUCUACAACUUGAUUGGAGUCCACCUGAGGUAAAUUCAAGUGAUUGGACAUGAUUUGGAAAGGCCCACACCUGUCUAUAUAAGGCCCCACAGUUGAUAGUGCAGGUCAGAGAAAAAAACCAAGCCAUGAGGUUGAAGGAAUUGUUCGUAGAGCUCCAAGACAGGAUUGUGUCAAGUCACUCAUCUGGGGAAGGGUACCAAAACAUUUCUGCAGCAUUGAAGGUCCAAGAACACAGCGGCCUCCAUCAUUCUUAAAUGGAAGAUGUUUGGAACCACCAAGACUCUUCCUAGAGCUGGCCACCCAGCCAAACUGAGCAAUCGGAGGAGAAG